rnacentral:rRNA from 1 species
UGGGGAAUAUUGCACAAUGGGGGAAACCCUGAUGCAGCGACGCCGCGUGAGCGAUGAAGUAUUUCGGUAUGUAAAGCUCUAUCAGCAGGGAAAGAAAGUGAACGGUACCUGACUAAGAAGCCCCGGCUAACUACGUGCCAGCAGCCGCGGUAAUACGUAGGGGGCAAGCGUUAUCCGGAUUUACUGGGUGUAAAGGGAGCGUAGACGGAGAGGCAAGUCUGGAGUGAAAACCCGGGGCUCAACCCCGGGACUGCUUUGGAAACUGUUUUUCUAGAGUGUCGGAGAGGUAAGUGGAAUUCCUAGUGUAGCGGUGAAAUGACGUAGAUAUUAGGAGGAACACCAGUGGCGAAGGCGGCUUACUGGACGGUAACUGACGUUGAGGCUCGAAAGCGUGGGGAGCAAACAGGAUUAGAUACC